rnacentral:tRNA from 1 species
GCGCCUGUAGCUCAGGGGAUAGAGCACCGGCCUCCGGAGCCGGUGGCGGAGGUUCGAUUCCUCCCAGGCGCG